rnacentral:rRNA from 1 species
AUUGAACGCUGGCGGCAGGCUUAACACAUGCAAGUCGGGCGAGCGGCGGACGGGAGUGUAACGUAUGGGACACUGCCUGCUGGCGGGGGUUAACUAUUGGAAACGGUAGCUAAUACCGCAUACCAUCGGGUGAACCUAUAUGGGAUUAGCUAGUAGGUAAGGUAAAGUCUUACCUAGCCGACGAUCCCUAGCUGGUCUGAGAGGAGGAUCAGCAACACUGGGACGGAGACACGGCCCAGACUCCUACGGUAGGCAGCAGUGGGGGAUAGUGCACAAUUGGAGCAAGCCGGAUGCAGUCAUGCCGCGUGUAUGAAGAAGGCCUUCGGGUUGUAAAGUACUUACAGUCGGGAGGCGUUACCGACAGAAGAAGCACCGGCUAACUCCGUGCCAGCAGCCGCGGUAAUAC